GAUGAACGCUAGCGACAGGCCUAACACAUGCAAGUCGAGGGGUAGCACAGAAAUAGCUUGCUAUUUUGGGUGACGACCGGCGCACGGGUGAGUAACGCGUAUGCAACCUGCCUAUAAGAGGGGGAUAGCCUUUCGAAAGAAAGAUUAAUACCGCAUAAUACUGUUGAUCUGCAUGGAUUGACAGUUAAACUAAUUGGCUUAUAGAUGGGCAUGCGUUCCAUUAGAUAGUUGGUGAGGUAACGGCUCACCAAGUCAGCGAUGGAUAGGGGUUCUGAGAGGAAGGUCCCCCACACUGGUACUGAGACACGGACCAGACUCCUACGGGAGGCAGCAGUGAGGAAUAUUGGUCAAUGGGCGAGAGCCUGAACCAGCCAAGUCGCGUGAAGGAUGAAGGUCUUAUGGAUUGUAAACUUCUUUUAUAAGGGAAUAAAAAAGAUCA
rnacentral:rRNA from 1 species